AAAUCAAAAGUAAACACAUAAGGUGAAAUUCAAAAUAUGACUUCUAAAAGCUAUCAAUCUUCUUAUAUUCUAGUUGUUUUAUGCAUGAGUUUUAUUAUGAUAUCUGAAAUUGUUACAAGUUUGAAGACUCCAAUAUUAGUUGAAAAGCCAAUAUGUAUUCGUGGGAGUGACGUAGACCCAAGAUUUUGCUGCAUAGGGAGUUGUAGUCCCAAUUGUUCUACUGAUUGCAUCAAUAAGGGAUAUGUAAAAGGUGGACAGUGUAAUUCUAAACUUGGAAAUAAGUGUUGUUGUUUUGUAUAAUGAGUUACAAUGUAUCACUAUGAUUGUUGAAAAUAAGAGAUGCACUUUUUCUUAAUUUUGGAACUUAAAGUGUGUAAGAACUUUAUGUUUUAUUGGAGAACCAUCAACUUGAUUAUGAAUAAAACCACCUUAAAAUGUA